rnacentral:tRNA from 1 species
AUUUAAAUAGCUUAAAAUUUAAAGCUUAAUAUUGAAGAUGUUAAAAUGAUUGUAUAAUCUUUAAAUA